GUUUGAUCAUGGCUCAGGAUGAACGCUAGCGACAGGCCUAACACAUGNAAGUCGAGGGGCAUCGGGGCGAGGAGCAAUCCUUGCCGCCGGCGACCGGCGCACGGGUGAGUAACGCGUAUGCGACCUGCCCGUUGCAGGGGGAUAAUCGGGAGAAAUCCCGUCUAAUACCGCGUAACGCCGCGGGGCUGCAUGGCCCUGCGGCCAAAGGAAGCGAUUCCGGCAACGGAUGGGCAUGCGUGACAUUAGCUAGUUGGCGGGGCAACGGCCCACCAAGGCGACGAUGUCUAGGGGUUCUGAGAGGAAGGUCCCCCACACUGGUACUGAGACACGGACCAGACUCCUACGGGAGGCAGCAGUGAGGAAUAUUGGUCAAUGGGCGCGAACCUGAACCAGCCAAGUCGCGUGAGGGAUGACGGCCCUACGGGUUGUAAACCUCUUUUGUCGGGGAGCAAAUUCCGCCACGUGUGGCGGAGUCGAGAGUACCCGAAGAAAAAGCAUCGGCUAACUCCGUGCCAGCAGCCGCGGUAAUACGGAGGAUGCGAGCGUUAUCCGGAUUUAUUGGGUUUAAAAGGGGUGNGUAGGCNGGACUGUCAAGUCAGCGGUAAAAUACGGGGGCUCAACNUCCGCCCCGCCGUUGAAACUGACGGUCUUGAGUGGGCGAGAAGUAUGCGGAAUGCGUGGUGUAGCGGUGAAAUGCAUAGAUAUCACGCAGAACUCCGAUUGCGAAGGCAGCAUACCGGCGCCCAACUGACGCUGAAGCACGAAAGCGUGGGUAUCGAACAGGAUUAGAUACCCUGGUAGUCCACGCAGUAAACGAUGAAUACUAGCUGUCCGGGGCGAAUGAGCCCUGGGUGGCACAGCGAAAGCGUUAAGUAUUCCACCUGGGGAGUACGCCNGCNANCGGUGAAACUCAAAGGAAUUGACGGGGNCCCGCACAAGCCGGAGGAACAUGUGGUUUAAAUUCGAUGAUACGCGAGGAACCUUUACCCGGGCUCAAACGACNUAGGAACGUACNUGAAAGGGUUCGGCUCUACGGAGCUUGUGUCGAGGUGCUGCAUGGUUGUCGUCAGCUCGUGCCGUGAGGUGUCGGCUUAAGUGCCAUAACGAGCGCAACCCCCAUCGACAGUUGCUAACAGGUCAGGCUGAGGACUCUGUCGAGACUGCCGGCGCAAGCUGCGAGGAAGGCGGGGAUGACGUCAAAUCAGCACGGCCCUUACGUCCGGGGCGACACACGUGUUACAAUGGCAGGUACAGCGGGAAGCCACCUGGCGACAGGGAGCGGAACCCGAAAGCCUGUCUCAGUUCGGAUUGGAGUCUGCAACCCGACUCCAUGAAGCUGGAUUCGCUAGUAAUCGCGCAUCAGCCACGGCGCGGUGAAUACGUUCCCGGGCCUUGUACACACCGCCCGUCAAGCCAUGGAAGCCGGGGGUGCCUGAAGUGCGCUGCCGCGAGGAGCGCCCUAGGGUAAAACCGGUGACUGGGGCUAAGUCGUAACAAGGUAACC
rnacentral:rRNA from 1 species